GGUCGAAACCACUGUCUCCUGUGUGAGAUACGUUUCGAACAGGAGCUCUGCCAUUAUGGCUCCACCAUGUGGUCAACACCUCUGUCUCCUGCGGGAGAUAUGUGUCUGCCCGGAGCUCUGUCAUUAAACUACCUCAUGCUUUUACAUCAAGAUGGUCGUCUGUUCGUGAUUCUUGGGUGCGCACGGAACGGAAAUUGAGUGGGGGUUUCCCCACUAGGUUCUUUCAUUUGGAGGUCCCACCGAGAUCUGCGUGACACCCAGGAACCCCGAAAGACCCCUUGGAGGUAUGUUUGUUUGUGUGCGUCUUACAUGUUGUCUGUUGUCUAAGUGUGGCACCACUAAAUUUGUGUUUUGGUUUGUGAAUUUGUGUCUUGGUUUGUAAAUUUGUGUCUUGGUUUCGGGGUUACGAGAUCGUGGGUUCAAGUCCCACCUCGUGCCUUGGUUUUUGGGUUGUGAGAUCAUGGGUUCGAGUCCCACCUCGUGCCUUGGUUUUAGGGUUGCGAGAUAGUGGGUUCGAGUCCCACCUCGUGCCUUGGUUUUAGGGUUGCAAGAUAGUGGGUUCGAGUCCCACCUUGUGCCUUAGUUUUAGGGUUGCGAGAUCGUGGGUUCGAGUCCCACCUCGUGCCUUGGUUUUACAUCUGGCAGAGUGAGGAAUGAGUGUGCUUAGAUACUGGUGUCUUUUAUUCUCUGUUGCUGUCUUGUUUUUGUGUUGCUGUCUUGUUUUUGUUUGUGGUUUUCAUCUUGGGACACUGUGUGUGUGGUGCCGACUGCGGACUUGGACUGACGGUAAGACAGAAUUUGUCAGUGAUAGUUAAGAAAAACUGGCUGCAAGCAGCCGCAAGACUGGACUGAGAACUUCCGGUUUCAGUGGCAGCGGCGUGUACUGGCCGAGGCAAGGCACCACGUGAAAAACUGUGGCCCAGGAACACCGAUAUAGAGGUUUCCCCGGGAUACCUGCCCCACCACCACCACCACACAUUUCACCACCUACAGGAUGGGC
rnacentral:lncRNA from 1 species